AAUGCUAAAGGAUAGGGGACUCAAGAUCGUGUCCCCACAUAAACAAAGAAACAUCUGAAGCCCAAGGAAUCCAGCUGAGCCCCUUGGCUAUGAACAUGCAGAAAAUUAAAACACUACAUAAUUAAUGAACUACAGGCCCCCUCGCUUGAACAUUGAAAUUACUGUCAUUUGCUGUUGAGUUCUUACAUAGUAAAUUUAAUGAUGGAUACUCUUGACAUUAAAUAUACAGUGACCCAAUAGCCCUUGAGUUCAUUCAAAUUAAAAAAAAAAAACAAAACUGAAAUUCUAAACAACAAAAUCAUUGAUGGAGGUUAACUGGGAACUUAACAUCACUGAGAUUGAACUAAUCAAAAUCCAAAAUUAGUGUUACUUAUCCAAAUUGAAUCUAUACUAUGACAGUACAAACAUCCAAGGACUCGGUAGAAAUAGUUUAAACUAGGCUGGAACCAAAAUAACACAUGAAAGUCCAAAUACAACCCCAAUACAAAUUGUAAUGUCCAUGGCAUGAAUAAAUACAAUGAAUCAAGCAAUAGAACACAAUUUAAUGUAGAACAAGGAUAAGUUUUCAAUAACACAACUUGAUAUUCAAUAACUAAGGUUUACAUCUCCGACAUGCUUCAGAUUCAAGCUUCACAUCAAUAAAGUCCAAAGAUGUACCUGGAUAUCAAAGUAAACCAAAAGAGAAUGAAGAUUUUCAACAGUAGCAAUAGAUUGAAUAAAUCAGCAAGCCAAACACAACAAUAUUCAACCUCUCUUAGGCCAUUUGUAACCCAGACAUCAGAAAUUAUUUGAACUUUUGGAAAAUUCUGACUAACUAUGAAGAUCAAAAGCAGAACCAAAGCAAAUUUCAACCAAAA
rnacentral:lncRNA from 1 species